ensembl:lncRNA
AAGGGUUUAGGUAAACUGGGACCUGGAAGAAUCCAUUGAAGGGUUUAGGUAAACUGGGACCUAGAAGAAUCCACUGAAGGGUUUAGGUAAACUGGGACCUGGUAGAAUCCAUUGAAGGGUUUAGGUAAACUGUCUGGGAACUGAAGAAUCCAUUGAAGGGUUUAGGUAAACUGGGACCUGGUAGACUCCAUUGAAGGGUUUAGGUAAACUGGGACCUGGUAGAAUCCAUUGAAGGGUUUAGGUAAACUGGGACCUGGUAGAAUCCAUUGAAGGGUUUAGGUAAACUGGGACCUGGUAGAAUCCACUGAAGGGUUUAGGUAAACUGUCUGGCACCUGAAGAAUCCAUUGUCGGGUUUAGGUAAACUGUCUGGGACCUGGAAGAAUCCAUUGAAGGGUUUAGGAAAACUGUGACCUGGUAGAAUCCAUUGAAGGGUUUAGGUAAACUGUCUGGGACCUGAAGUAUCCAUUGAAGGGUUUAGGUAAACUGGGACCUGAUGAAUCCAUUGAAGGGUUUAGGUAAACUGUCUGGGACCUGGAAGAAUCCUUUGAAGGGGUUAGGUAAACUGUCUGGGACCUGGAAGAAUCCUUUGAAGGGGUUAGGAAAACUGUCUGGGACCUGAAGAAUCCAUUGAAGGGUUUAGGUAAACUGGGACCUGGUAGACUCCAUUGAAGGGUUUAGGUAAACUGGGACCUGUAAGAAUCCAUUGAAGGGUUUAGGUAAACUGUCUGGGACCUGAAGAAUCCAUUGAAGGGUUUAGGUAAACUGGGACCUGGUAGAAUCCAUUGAAGGGUUUAAGUAAACUGUCUGGGACCUGAAGAAGCCAUUGAAGGGUUUAGGUAAACUGUCUGGGACCUGAAGAAUCCAUUGAAGGGUUUAGGUAAACUGGGACCUGGUAGAAUCCAUUGCAGGGUUUAGGUAAACUGGGACCUGGUAGAAUCCAUUGAAGGGUUUAGGUAAACUGGGACCUAGAAGAAUCCAUUGAAGGGUUUAGGUAAACUGGGACCUGGUAGAAUCCAUUGAAGGGUUUAGGUGAACUGGGACCUAGAAGAAUCCAUUGAAGGGUUUAGGUAAACUGGGACCUAGAAGAAUCUAUUGAAGGGUGUAGGUAAACUGGGACCUGGUAGAAUCCAUUGAAGGGUUUAGGUAAACUGGGACCUAGAAGAAUCCAUUGAAGGGUUUAGGGAAAC